UAAGCCCUGCUCAGAAGUCAAGAGCAGCAGCGCCGCCGCUCCUCGAGGCCUUUCAAGCCUCAGCCGCUCCUUAUUCUUGUGCUUCGGCCUCUCCCGGUGCCCCCGGAGACCGGCCGCUCCCUUCCCGCUAAAUCCCCUUCGGGGUCAGUGCGCUACCAGCACCGGGCCGCGCGCCUCUCCUGCCAGCCGUGUGGCUCUUAAAGAGCUGCGCCCCCCCUGAUCCCUGCGGCCCCGACCCACCGACCGUUGCCCGCGGACUCCCAGCCCCCUCCUUUCGCCUCCUCCCCUGAGCAGCCAGUGGGCCUGGC
rnacentral:lncRNA from 1 species